UCGACUUUAAAAUAAUAUAUUUGUUUAAUUAAUUUUCAAGCUUAUCCUAUUAUGGAACUUAUUAUAUAAAUAAACUUAGAUCCAGUCAAGCUUUAAUUGGAGCAACUUGCGGUUGCGGAAAUUCAAUCGAAUUAUGAAUAUUAUGAGACCCAAAUAUAUCUAGCAUGUGAGAAGUAAUUUGUAGUUAUAAAUGUAGUUUCCAUCUUGGCUCAGAGUUUGCUCUUGUUCAUCAUCAUCCUUGCAAAAUUAAGACUCGUUGUUUGACCCUUUGCUUCUGUUUUUUGAGCCAUUGAGGCCCAUAACUACGCGGUUGAUAACUUGAUAUGGAAGCUGCAACUUGGGCACUGAAUGCUGAUUAACAAAAUGGAAAGCCAGUUUGUCCUUAGAGAUAAAGAAAAGGUAAAAUACCUAGAUUGCAAACAUAAUCACGUGACCAAGGCAAGUCCUUAUGCUUUUUCUUCUGGUGUUUCAUCCAAGUAACAAGAUUCCAAAUGCUGUGACAAUUUAAUAGAGUUUGCUUGCAGUGCUUGUUUUCUGUAUAUUUUGCCCUCUUUCAAUUGCUUGGUUUUGUGCCAAGUUACCCACGUUGCAAGAAUGGAUGGCGCACUGCACGGUAUGCAAUCAAGUGGGCUUGCUGCAGAUCAGAUAAGAGGGUUUUUGCAGAAUAAUCUUCGUUUUCAGACAUUGAUUUGGAUGAUCUGCCAUGUAAAUCACGUAAUAUUUCCUCUUAUCCUUUCAAUCGUGCAAGGAGUAGGACUAGGCAUAGGACGAAUUAAUCGACCCAUGGCGUAAUAGGAGCAUAAAGUUUUGCCUGUUUUGCAGCCUUUUGUUAAGUGUAAAAUUUGUGUGGCAUAAAAAUGGUUGUUUUUUUUACUUAAAAUGUAUAUAUGUGAGGAAAUUUUUAUGCUUCUCAGAUAAUAAAUUAAGAAACUAACGUUUUGAGACGAGUAGGAUUUUACAAAUUGAUUGUUAAAACUUUACCAAAAACUGGAAGAAAAUUCAAGUUUCUUAGCAUAUCCAUAAAACCCGGUGAAGUGCGACUUCCCCCUGUUUUCAUUAACCCAGCCUUUCAGUUCCAAUAAAAUUGAAGUCUGCAUUCCUAGAUUGUGUCCCUGGUAGUUGCAGAUUUCUAGGUCAAGCACUUGAUAUCAGAUCAUGCAUGCAUCUUGUAGAGAACUUCUAGAUGAGUCUUGAACCUGGUUCAUCAAGACACUCGUUUUCCUGUGGGUCCUCCUUAGUCAUAGUAAUUUUGCUAAUCAAAUUCUUGAUGUAAUAAUGUAGUUGUUAUCAUAAGGAAUAAGAAUAUCAACAAUGCAUUUGAGUGAAAGAAGCAUUUAUCUUCAGAUGACAGAUACUCCAACUGUCAUUGCCACCAUUGAUAAAAGGCAAAAAAAUAAAUAGAGAUUCACCAUUACCAAUCAGUAAUACCAAUUGUUUAGCCCGAUAACUAUAUCACACUCUUUAAAGGUGGAUUUCAAGUUACAACAUGCACAAGAAAAAUACAAGAGGAGAAAAGGCAAGCAACUUAAUUGAGAAUGCUUAGCUUAGUAGUUUCAAAUAUUUAAUGAGUUAUUGAAGAAGAUGAAAUAGUUGGUUGUUGACUGUUGUUAUAUUGCUUUCCUGGUCAUUUUCUUUCUGUACUAUAAGCUGGCGGAUUCAUUUGUUUAGCAGAAAAAAAAAAAUCAUAUUUGCUUCUCGAAUCAUAAUGACAGUGCCUCAGAAACAAAAAUUAAAUCCAGUGUCAAGAAUGGGAUUCGAACCCAUGCCCUUUCGGACCAGUACCUGAAACUGGCGCCUUAGACCAACUCGGCCAUCUUGACUUACAUUUGCAAUUAGCAAAUAUCUAAUAUAAUUAUAGAUUAAAUUUUUGUAUAACUUCUUUUCUUCCUUCUUUUCCUUAGUUUUGUCCGACGCAUAUCGAAUCAGUCCAAACAAGAGGAAAUCGAGAAAGGGAAG
rnacentral:lncRNA from 1 species